rnacentral:siRNA from 1 species
CUUAUGUUUAGCAUUUAGAUCUGC